GGAAAUAGUAUGUCUUUGCCUUUUCAUGAACGAACAUCACUCUGCAUUCAUGAUGUCAACAAGAGCAGAUUAUUCUUUCUGCCGCUGGCUACCAAGCAAGUUUACAGCAACGAAACACAAAGGGCCAGAGUUGGAAAACUGGUGAGACAAAGGAUGACUGUGAAUGAAACUCCAGUGGCUGUUUGAACAGAAAUUCUGGAAUCCACACUUGAAGAAGAGGGAUGGCCCAGCAGCCAAGAGGAUGAAGGAAGUCUAUGGUUUUCAUCACGAACUAAAGCCCAGGAUAUUCUUCAAUAUAGAGGAUUGCAUGCACAGAAAGGAGCAGUGAAUGAAGAUGCUCAGUCCUAGUG